GCUCUGAGCAGGCCGACAGUCAUAGACGAGUAGACCUUAGGCGAGGGAAGGCAUGUACUUUCCCUAAGAAGCGGGAGGAGAGAAAUAAAUAGAGGGCAGUGGGAUGAGAAGAACCUCGCGGGAUGGGAAGCCGCGGAGGGAAGGGCCGUCUUUGGUUACCUGGAGAGCGGGAGCAGCUGCGGAUCCCUUAUGAAGUGCCCGGAUGAAGCUCCAGCGCUCACGCGCUUUCCGCAUUGAGUGCAGCGCCAUCUUGAGAAGGGCGGAGCCGUCUUGUUUGGAAUGACGUCUGUUCAGAGAGCCAAUCCCAGUCUCGCGACUCCUGCUUGCUGGGCGCGGCUUGGGCCUCCAGGCUGCGCAGCGCAGCCGCUAUCGGGCGGACUGCAGUUCUUGCCGAGCAGGGGAGCAGGAGAGUCAGUCUAAGAAGGAAAUGUGAUGAUGGAAACAGAGGUUGGAAGAUGGAAGAGGACCCAGAGUCAAGGAAUGCAGGUAGAAAAGAAAAGCCUGGAUUCUCCCCUAAAGCCUCCAGAUGGAACACAGCCCUGCCUCCACCUUGAUUUCAGGACUUCUUACCCCAAGAAUCUCACCCGGGAGGAACCAUCUAUCAUCCUGCCUUGAAGGUAGUUUCUGCUGGAUCUGGUCAGACCUUUGUAUGAUGGAUUUUGGAAACCCAGUGGAAGGAUGUUCGCUCAUUGCCCCCAUUUGCCACUAUAGGACUAUGCGCCUCCCUUUUAUUUACUCAAUUUGCUUUUAUCCUGAUCUAUUAUGUUGUUGUAGACCCAGUUCCAGUUGUUACAAUACUGGGUUAUCAGUUCUAAGGCCCUGGCAAGGGUGGUGUGGAACAGGUCCCACAUAACUGCCCAUGUCGAGAGCUCUAAGCCUAAAUUGGGAGGGACACCAGGGACAAGACUCCUGGGUUCAUAGCCUAGGGGCCUAAGGUCGCAGCAUAGAGCUUCCUUAGAUCCCUUUGGAGAUACUAAUACUUGGGAGAGGAAGUGAAAGUCUGAAGCAUUAGUAUCUAGGAGGCAGGGAUCAGAGGAAGUAGAUUCAGAGGUAAGGAGAAUUUUGGGGCUACACUUUCAAGAAAGUUGUGGUCAGGACCCAGGAGGUAUGGGUCAGAAGGAAAGGUAGAGGCACACGCACGGGUGACUGUUGAGUAGGGACUUCUGGCUGCGCCAUGAUCUCAACCGGCUAAUGCCGAGAGUUUGGGAUGACAGCUUUCUGCCUCUAGUCGGCCCCCGGCUUCCCCAGGGAAAUUGAAAGUGGAAGCUGGUUCCAGGUAGACCAGCGCUUCCAACCCAGAAGCGUUGGGGGUUGUUAGAAAGCCAUUCCCCAGACAGCCUCACACUUGAGUCUUAAGUCUGGUGGCCGCCCUAUCGUUUUUAACCGUCCGACAGGUGCCUGGUAUUUUCCUCCAAUUCUAAGGAAGGGUAGAACAGAAUAGCAAGCGAAAGCGCUUUGGAGGUCCCUUCAUGAUUGCCAAAAUGUUACCAGGGAGUCCUUGUUCUUAGAGCUCCAAAGAUGAUGGUGGGCCGCUUCCAUGAUGGCGGCAAGCCUCUUGUUCUCUGACCUGGGGUUCCUGGCCUCACGGAUACUAAGGAAUGGAAUCUUGGGCCAUGCAUUGAGUGUUAUAGCUCUAUUCAGCCCAAUUAGGAUGAACCCCAGGCACUUAGCCCGCGCAGGAACAAUGGCAAGCCUCUAGCCCGAUUGGGAGCAGCAAUGGACACUGCCUCGCUGGAUCACAAGUGCAGCAGAUCCACCCCUGCCAGAUCCAGAGGGUUGGAAGUCAGCUGCGGGUCUGCAAUGACGGCAAACAGUGGUGGACGGCGAGUGAAAGCUCAGCUCGAGCCAUAAAAAACACAGACCAGAAGAGUGUGCAGUUGCAAGAUUUAAUAGAGUGAAAACAGAGCUCCCAUAAAAUGGGAGGGGACACAAAGGGGGUUGCCCUUCAUUCUGUUUUUCAUAAGGACUGUACUAAUUUACACUCCCACCAACAGUGAAUAAGGGUUCCAUUUUUUGCACGUCCUUGCCAACACAUCUUAUCUUCUGUGUUUUUGAUAGUAGUCAUUCUAAUAGGCAUGAAGUGAUAUCUCAUUGUGGUUUUAAUUUGCAUUUCCCUGAUGAUUUGUGAUGUUGAAUAUUUUUUUCAUAUACCUACUAGCCAUUUGUAUGUCUUCAUUUGAGAAAUUCUAUUCAAGUCGUCUGACCAGUUUUUAAUUAGGUUAUUUGCUUUCUUACUAUUGAGUUGUUUCAAUUCCUUAUAUAUUUUGGAUAUUAACCCCUUGUCAGAUGUUUGGUUUGCAAAUAUAUUUUCUCAUUCUGCAGGUUGUCUCCUUACUCUGUUCAUUAUUUUUGUAGUUAUGCAGAAGCUUUGUAGUUUGAUGUAAUCCCAGUUGUCCAAUUUUGCUUUUGUUGCUUGUCAUUUGGGGACAUACCCAUAAUUGAUCUUAGCCAAAAGGCUGAGAAGUGAUUUGGGUCAUAUUAAAAAAUAUCAUUGCCAA
rnacentral:lncRNA from 10 species